CAUGCAAGUCGAACGAUGAAAGCGGGAGCUUGCUCCUGCUGGAUUAGUGGCGAACGGGUGAGUAACACGUGAGUAACCUGCCCUUGACUCUGGGAUAAGCGUUGGAAACGACGUCUAAUACCGGAUACGACCUUCGGAGGCAUCUCCUGGGGGUGGAAAGAAUUUCGGUCAAGGAUGGACUCGCGGCCUAUCAGCUAGUUGGUGAGGUAAUGGCUCACCAAGGCGACGACGGGUAGCCGGCCUGAGAGGGUGACCGGCCACACUGGGACUGAGACACGGCCCAGACUCCUACGGGAGGCAGCAGUGGGGAAUAUUGCACAAUGGGCGCAAGCCUGAUGCAGCAACGCCGCGUGAGGGACGACGGCCUUCGGGUUGUAAACCUCUUUUAGUAGGGAAGAAGCGAAAGUGACGGUACCUGCAGAAAAAGCACCGGCUAACUACGUGCCAGCAGCCGCGGUAAUACGUAGGGUGCAAGCGUUAUCCGGAAUUAUUGGGCGUAAAGAGCUCGUAGGCGGUUUGUCACGUCUGCUGUGAAAACUGGAGGCUCAACCUCCAGCCUGCAGUGGGUACGGGCAGACUAGAGUGCGGUAGGGGAGAUUGGAAUUCCUGGUGUAGCGGUGGAAUGCGCAGAUAUCAGGAGGAACACCGAUGGCGAAGGCAGAUCUCUGGGCCGUAACUGACGCUGAGGAGCGAAAGCAUG
rnacentral:rRNA from 1 species